ensembl:lncRNA
UGUGAGGAAGGCUCUGGGUUUUAUGGGAAAGGAUAAAUGUUUUAUUGUGAAGGUCUGUUCUUCUUCUAUGGUAGAAUGUGAGGAAGGCUCUGGGUUUUAUUGUGAAAGGAUGAAUGUUUUAUUGUGAAGGUCUGUUCUUCUUCUAUGCUAGAAUGUGAGGAAGGCUCUGGGUUUUACUGUGAAUAGAUCAGUGUUUUAUUGUGAAGGUGUGUUCGUCCAUGGUAGAAUGUGAGGAAGGCUCUGGGUUUUAUUGUGAAAGGAUCAGGUGUUUUAUUGUGAAAGUCUGUUCUUCUUCUAUGGUAGAAUGUGAGGAAGGCUCUGGGUUUUAUUGUGAAAGGACUAGUGUUUUAUUGUAAAGGUGUGUUCUUCUAUGGUAG